rnacentral:rRNA from 1 species
UACGUAGGGUGCGAGCGUUGUCCGGAAUUAUUGGGCGUAAAGGGCUCGUAGGCGGUUUGUCGCGUCGGGAGUGAAAUCCACUGGCUUAACUGGUGGCUUGCUUUCGAUACGGGCAGACUGGAGGUAUGCAGGGGGGAGAACGGAAUUCCUGGUGUAGCGGUGAAAUGCGCAGAUAUCAGGAAGAACACCCGUGGCUAAGGCGGCUCUCUAGUACGGUACUGACGCUGAGACGCGAAAGCGUGGGAGCAAACAGG